rnacentral:misc_RNA from 1 species
UCUUAAUCUUUUACACAGAAUCACCUAAAUGAUGAAAAGCCCUAAUCAUCCAUAAACCCUAGAAACCAUCAAAUCUUUUAACUCCCAAAGGCCAAAAGGGUUGAUACAAAGCAGCAAAUUCUCAGAGAUAAGCAAAAGUGGUUGACCAAAAAUCUUCAAAAAAAAGUCAAUCUUUCAACUAAUCAACACAAACCCACAAACCAAACAGCAAAAACAAACUGCCCCAAACACUCAAAAGACAAUCUUUUUUUUUUUUAUCUAAACCCUCAAUAGCAAAGUAUAAAAGAAGAGAAAAGACAAUUCCUUUGAAGGGGAAAACACUAUUUAGUUAGUGAAACUAUGAAAAGAGGAAAAAUUGAG